GGACAAUCAGGAUGUUUUUCAGAGAGAAGUGUGGAUGCUGGACAGGAAGAACCACAGAUACCAGAUACGGGUACUGUUGUAACUCUGUUCUCCAUGAAAAAAAAGGAAGAAUCAACACUUUCAGAGAUGGAGCCUGUUGAGCCACAGUACCAACUAGUCAAUGCUGAAUCGACUUCUCCCUUUCUACAUUGCCUGAGAGAAGUCAUUGGGGAAUACUCUAGAGUCAAGGGAUUGGAUUGUGGAUUGCAUUGGUGGUUUUCCUCAGUUUCCUCAUCUUCUCCACAAGUUUCUACAUAUCGAAUGCAGAGCAGCCCUUCUUCAAAGGACCUCCUACGGAAGCUGCUAAGGAACUCAGUCUGUAGCUCUGCGUGGAGCCAUGUGUAAACACUGAACUGAGACCUGCCACCUCCUACUACCUAAGGGCCCAUUUUCAUCUGAUAUCAUCCCCCAGAAACAAACUCAUGAUGACUUCCAUGUUUUUUUUAGAUUAGAUACAUGGAGAAUUUUCCUUUCCCUUAGAAUUAAAAUCCUGCAUUCUAA
rnacentral:lncRNA from 10 species